AACCCCCUUACCUGUAAUCUCUAACAUUUUCUUAGUUUUGAUUUGAAAACUUCUUAUCUUUGGGUUUUGUUCGUACUUUUGUCUUUUCCUUUGGCAACAAUAAAAGCGCAGUGGCGACUCUGGUUUUACUAACGUCAAGUUUAUCCAUAGCUUGAUGGUCAUAAAUCUACCGCUACAUUGGGUAACGGGCUUGAGGCUAUGUCAUAAAUAUUCUUUUAAAU
rnacentral:lncRNA from 1 species